rnacentral:rRNA from 1 species
GAUGAACGCUGGCGGCGUGCCUAAUACAUGCAAGUCGAGCGAACGGACGAGAAGCUUGCUUCUCUGAUGUUAGCGGCGGACGGGUGAGUAACACGUGGAUAACCUACCUAUAAGACUGGGAUAACUUCGGGAAACCGGAGCUAAUACCGGAUAAUAUUUUGAACCGCAUGGUUCAAAAGUGAAAGACGGUCUUGCUGUCACUUAUAGAUGGAUCCGCGCUGCAUUAGCUAGUUGGUAAGGUAACGGCUUACCAAGGCAACGAUGCAUAGCCGACCUGAGAGGGUGAUCGGCCACACUGGAACUGAGACACGGUCCAGACUCCUACGGGAGGCAGCAGUAGGGAAUCUUCCGCAAUGGGCGAAAGCCUGACGGAGCAACGCCGCGUGAGUGAUGAAGGUCUUCGGAUCGUAAAACUCUGUUAUUAGGGAAGAACAUAUGUGUAAGUAACUGUGCACACCUUGACGGUACCUAAUCAGAAAGCCACGGCUUACUACGUG